GGAUGUGGCUCAGGGGCAGAGCAUCUGUCUGGCUUGCAGACAGUUCCAGUUUCAGCCCCUGGCAUCUCCA
rnacentral:tRNA from 1 species